rnacentral:rRNA from 1 species
GCGUAUAUUAAAGUUGUUGCAGUUAAAAAGCUCGUAGUUGAAUUUCGGGGUCAGCAGGUUGGUCGUGCCACUGGUAUGCACUGGCUUCGCUGAUUCCUCCUUUCUGAAGAACUGUAAUGCCAUUAAUUUGGUGUUGCAGGGAAACAGGACUGUUACUUUGAAAAAAUUAGAGUGUUUAAAGCAGGCUAACGCUUGAAUACAUUAGCAUGGAAUAAUGAAAUAGGACGUUUGAUCCUAUUUUGUUGGUUUCUAGGAUUGACGUAAUGAUUAAUAGGGAUAGUUGGGGGCAUUAGUAUUCAAUUGUCAGAGGUGAAAUUCUUGGAUUUAUUGAAGACUGACUACUGCGAAAGCAUUUGCCAAGGAUGUUUUCAUUAAUCAAGAACGAAAGUUAGGGGAUCGAAGACGAUCAGAUACCGUCGUAGUCUUAACCAUAAA